rnacentral:lncRNA from 1 species
UUCCGGUCACGAUUCCGGUUCGGAACCGUUAUUCGUACAGCCUUAAUUGGAAGUACUUCUAAUUCAAUCACUAUAACUUCUUAGGAAUACAGUUGUCUAACCCAUGCCCUCUUAAUUAUUUUCCCAAAUGAAAAUAACUUAUAUUGUCAUCAACACAAAUGUGUCAUGCGCAUCUAGAAGAAAUUAAAUGGGAUUUUUACACAAAUAGUCUAUCAAAUUAACUGUUCAUAUUUAAGAGCCAGUAUAUAUUGACUCCUAAAUUAUUAAUUAUACACUUUUAUUACACAUCGUAUAUAUUGAUUAUACACUCGCCGGCUAUAUUUAGUUUAAGCUAUUUAGUGAAUGGCUACAUAGAUUAAUCCUUCAAAUUAAAGUGUGAAAGAAAGCUGCAAAAGCAUGUGAUGACAACCAUUUUCCUUGUUACUGUAUUAAGUAUUGAAUAAUUAGAGAUGAAUAGAAAAAUGCAAAGAGGGCCAACAUGAAUUGGUGCAUAUGAUGUAUCUGGAUUCUGGACUGCAAGUACUAUCAAUAGCAUGCAACUUAGGAAAGGCUAAGCCUACAGCCUAAGGCUGUACGAAUA